UACGUAGGGUGCGAGCGUUAAUCGGAAUUACUGGGCGUAAAGCGUGCGUAGGCGGUUCGUUCAGUUCGUUGUGAAAGCCCCGGGCUCAACCUGGGAAUGGCAAUGGAAACUGGCGGGCUGGAGUAUGGCAGAGGGGGGUGGAAUUCCGCGUGUAGCAGUGAAAUGCGUAGAGAUGCGGAGGAACACCGAUGGCGAAGGCAGCCCCCUGGGCCAAUACUGACGCUCAGGCACGAAAGCGUGGGGAGCAAACAGG
rnacentral:rRNA from 1 species